GGGGAAGUCGCAUAGCGGUCAAUUGCAACGGACUGUAAAUUCGUCGGCUUACGCCUACGGUGGUUCGAAUCCACCCUUCCCCACCA
rnacentral:tRNA from 1 species